CCGAGAUGAGUUCUCCCUGAGACUUAAAGUCUCCUGAAGGAACGUUGAAGACGACGACGUUGAUAGGCCGGGUGUGUAAGCGCAGCGAUGCGUUGAGCUAACCGGUACUAAUGAACCGUGAGGCUUAACCUUACAACGCCGAAGCUGUU
rnacentral:rRNA from 1 species